rnacentral:rRNA from 1 species
GACGAACGCUGGCGGCGUGCCUAAUACAUGCAAGUCGAACGCUUCUUUCCUCCCGAGUGCUUGCACUCAAUUGGAAAGAGGAGUGGCGGACGGGUGAGUAACACGUGGGUAACCUACCCAUCAGAGGGGGAUAACACUUGGAAACAGGUGCUAAUACCGCAUAACAGUUUAUGCCGCAUGGCAUAAGAGUGAAAGGCGCUUUCGGGUGUCGCUGAUGGAUGGACCCGCGGUGCAUUAGCUAGUUGGUGAGGUAACGGCUCACCAAGGCCACGAUGCAUAGCCGACCUGAGAGGGUGAUCGGCCACACUGGGACUGAGACACGGCCCAGACUCCUACGGGAGGCAGCAGUAGGGAAUCUUCGGCAAUGGACGAAAGUCUGACCGAGCAACGCCGCGUGAGUGAAGAAGGUUUUCGGAUCGUAAAACUCUGUUGUUAGGGAAGAACAAGGGCGUUAGUAACUGAACGUCCCCUGACGGUAUCUAACCAGAAAGCCACGGCUAACUACGUG